AACGAACGCUGGCGGCAUGCCUAACACAUGCAAGUCGAACGAGACCUUCGGGUCUAGUGGCGCACGGGUGCGUAACGCGUCGGAACCUGCCCUUAGGUUCGGCAUAACUCCCCGAAAGGGGUGCUAAUACCGGAUAAUGUCUUCGGACCAAAGAUUUAUCGCCUUUGGUUGGGCCCGCGUUGGAUUAGCUAGUUGGUAGGGUAAAAGCCUACCAAGGCGACGAUCCAUAGCUGGUCUGAGAGGAUGAUCAGCCACACUGGGACUGAGACACGGCCCAGACUCCUACGGGAGGCGGGAGUGGGGAAUAUUGGACAAUGGGCGAAAGCCUGAUCCAGCUAUGCCGCGAGAGUGAUGAAGGCCUUAGGGUUGUAAAGCUCUUUUACCCGGGAUGAUAAUGACGGUACCGGGAGAAUAAGCUCCGGCUAACUCCGUG
rnacentral:rRNA from 1 species